rnacentral:rRNA from 1 species
UACGUAGGGGGCGAGCGUUGUCCGGAUUUAUUGGGCGUAAAGAGCUCGUAGGCGGUUCGAUAAGUCAGGUGUUAAAACUCCAGGCUCAACUUGGAGAGGCCACCUGAUACUGUCGUGACUAGAGUCCGGUAGAGGAGCAUGUAAUUCCUGGUGUAGCGGUGAAAUGCGCAGAUAUCAGGAGGAACACCAGCGGCGAAGGCGGUGCUCUGGGCCGGAACUGACGCUGAGGAGCGAAAGCGUGGGGAGCGAACAGG